rnacentral:misc_RNA from 1 species
GAAUUAUUAAUGAGGUGUAUAAUACAUUCUCUGGAGAUGGGUUUAAAGAAGUCCAGGUGAUAAAAGAACCAAAGAAAGUAGUCUAAGCAUGUGAUGAAGACGAAGGCUCAGAGACUGCANCAAGUGAAGAUUCAAGUGAUUCGGUUCACAUUUUUACUUGCCCAAACGAAGGCUGUGUGAAAGUGUACCAAAGUUAUGGAAAACUGGCCUGGCACAUAGAACAUGGGAAAUGUGAAUAAAAGACAGAAAAGGGAGUCUCUUCUAAACAAAGCAAAAGUCAUGUAUGCUGAAAAGUUACUAGUCGACCAUAAUGUGAAUUCGCAAGGUAAUGUAAAAUCAGGGGUCCAUGAGAGCGUUACAUCUACUGACCCACUUCUUCGGGGCUGGGCUCUACGUCUAACGAGAAAGAAGUCGAGAUUUACAGCAAAACAAAAGGAAUACCUCGAUNAAAAGUUUGAAUCAGGAGCGAAAACCGGGAAGAAGUAUAAUCCUUUGCAAGUAUCUCUGGAAAUGAGGACAGCAAGAGACAAUGAGGGGAAGUGCAUUUUUAGUGUCGACGAAUUUCUUUCUGAAGAUCAGAUUAAAGGAUAUUUCUCUAGAAUCUCAUCAAAAAGAAAGCGGGACAAUGUUAGUGAUGAAAGUGAAAGAAAGCAAGCUUCAGCUGUAGCCGAGGAGAUGAUGUUACAAGACAUGCAUCACCUGGUGGAUAGAAAUAUCCAGAUAUCUCAUCCAAUUAUAAUUGAUAACUAUAACGUGUGUGACCUGGUAAAAAAAGACAGAUUGAACAAACUUUCAAUCCCACUGCUCAAAAACCUAUGUGAAAAGCUUGAUGUCAAUUUGAUCAAAGUAGGUUCGGGAAAAAGAAAGGGUCCUUAUAUUGCACUACUCAAAAAACUUGUGGCGACCUGUUCCUGCAGUCAAAUCUAAACUACGAUACAAUGCCCUUUUAAUAAAUAAAGAUUACAAAAAGUCGAGAAGUGUGGUCAGCGAACUAAUCUGAAGANGGACAACUGAGUACUAUUUAAUGCUGAAAAAUAUUCUAGUUGUACACAAA